CCGUGACCAUUUUGCCCUUCCUAUUGGCCUUCCACGAAUCAAUGAGAAAAUAACAACAGUCUCUUUUCUUUCUUAUCUAAUAUUUCAUCAAUUUGGCUCGACGGUUUGUAGGUCAGGAUUCGAUAGUACCACGAUGGACCUAACUUUACGAAACGUUUCGCUUUUUUUCUUUUUUUUUUUUUGAUAAUAUCGAAAAGUAUAAAGAGAAAGUCGAUAUAUAUAAGUCGAUGUUAUCGUUUUUUUUUUUUUUUUACAGAUAAACGUGUAAAGGAUAUACAUAUAUGAAGAUAAAUUUUAUGCGCGGUUUAUUUUGUUGAAAAAUUUGUUAAAAAAGUUGUGCAAGCGUUUCCUUUCGACUAUAUAUAUAUCGUUAGCCGUAUCGUUGAUAAGAAGCUUAAAGCUUCUGUAACAGGCAUAAUUUAACGAGUUAAUCGGCUACGGAUGGAGAAUUUAAUUAAUACCAACCUGAUGGAAACCUAUAUAAACCUCUGGGACAACAAUAUCGUUUAUCGAUAUAGUUGGAUUACGAAGAGAUAGAAACAGCUGUUCGAAUAAUUAAUCGAAAUAAAUAAUCGAAUUUUUUUUCGAGAAUAAUCUUUAAAUUAAAAUGGAUCGAAACGAUGAAAAGGAAUGUAAAAAUUUUCGUCGAAAUAAUAAUUGAAGGAACAGGAGAGAGAGAGAGAGAGAGCACGUGCUUCAGAUUUAUCGCAGGAUAUAGUCGUAUCGUGAUUGGCGUGCCAACAAACUCGACGACUAUCGCAAUUCUCCCCAUCCUAAAAUCGAUAUCGUCACAGGUACACUGGUAACCACGCAAGGAAACUGUAAUCGAUAAUGGGCGAGGAAUCGAUCGAGUCCUCGACGAUCUAACCUAUACACGUCCGCCAUGUUCUACUUCUUCGAUUUCACGAAGAGAAGUGUUCUUUCCUCGAUUCGAUGAAAUGUCGAAAGAUAAAAUGGAUAAAAAGGAAUACGGAUAGAAAGCAAGAACAUAUGGAUGGCGAUAAGUUAUAUUCCUAUCUUUCCUACUUUCCAGAUAAUUAAAUUUAGCUUCAAUCGCGUCACCAGGUAAAUAGAGAUUAUCGACCGGUAUGAUUCGUAGCUUUGCACGCGAAUUGACAUUUGUUAUCGACUUGUUACCAACCUUCAAACAAGUAUCAUCGAUUUGUUUACGUAAAAAAGGAACGCUUCUUAACCUUCAAUUUUAAGAAAGUAGAUUAUCGAAUAAUUCUUUUUUUCUUUUCAGAAACAUUAAUUGUAGAAACUGCCAAAUUGAAAAAUUUAAGGAAAGGCUGUAGCGAAGCGAGGUCACGUAACUCGAUGGAGAAGAAAAAUUACGUGCAUGUCGAUUUAUAUUUAGAACAUCCAAAUGAAAUCCAGUAGCGCGCCGCUCGAGCUUUGUACAUGCUCUAAACAACAGAUAUUCUACGCUGUACAAAAAAUAUUCCAAGCGAAGAUAUAAAAAGGGGGGGGGGAAAAAAAGAAAAGGAUACACAGAAGAAUAGAAAAUUUUGAACGAGAUGAAAUUGAGAAAAGCAGCGAUCUAUCGAGAAUUCUAUUUAGCAUAGCACAGAGAAAAAACGGAAUCGACGAUGCGGCCAAGAAUAUUGGACGAUAUUGGAAAACAAUCGAACGCGUCGUCUGCACGUAUACACAACGGCGGAGCUCUAGCUUUGCUCGAAUUUCGUAAUGACGUAAUUGAGAAAGUUUCGGCGAAGAGCGUUGCUCCAAUAUCCCGAACACUUGUCCAUAGUGUCUCUCUGAAGGCGCACGCGUAAUACCGAGCACGCGGUCACCGUUGAAACUCCAGCCUGAAACGGAGAAUUCGUUUAAGAGGGAAAAGGACCUGCCA